rnacentral:ncRNA from 1 species
UCACAUUCCAGUGGUGAUUUGGCCGGUCGGUUGCAGCCACUUAAAACAAAUUGCUAAAGACCGUUUGAACCGGCCG